UAACAGGAUUAGAUACCCUGGUAGUCCACGCCGUAAACGAUGAGUGCUAGCUGUUGGGUGGUUUACCAUUCAGUGGCGCAGCUAACGCAUUAAGCACUCCGCCUGGGGAGUACGGUCGCAAGAUUAAAACUCAAAGGAAUUGACGGGGGCCCGCACAAGCGGUGGAGCAUGUGGUUUAAUUCGAUGCAACGCGCAGAACCUUACCAGCCCUUGACAUGUGUAGGACGAUAUCAGAGAUGGUAUUUUCUUUUCGGAGACCUUUACACAGGUGCUGCAUGGCAGUCGUCAGCUCGUGUCGUGAGAUGUUGGGUUAAGUCUCGCAACGAGCGCAACCCCUGCCUCUAGUUGCCAUCAAGUUUAGGUUUUUACCUAGAUGUUGGGUACUUUAUAGGGACUGCCGGUGAUAAGCCGGAGGAAGGUGGGGAUGACGUCAAGUCCUCAUGGCCCUUAUGGGCUGGGCUACACACGUGCUACAAUGGUGGUUACAAUGGGUUGAGAAGUCGCGAGGCGGAGCUAAUCUCCAAAAGCCAUCUCAGUUCGGAUUGCACUCUGCAACUCGAGUGCAUGAAGUCGGAAUCGCUAGUAAUCGCGGAUCAGCAUGCCGCGGUGAAUACGUUCUCGGUCCUUGUACACACCGCCCGUCACACCAUGGGAGUUGGUUUUGCCUGAAGACGGUGUGCUAACCGCAAGGAGGCAGCCGGCCACGGUAGGGUCAGCGAGAGGGGUGAAGUCGUAACAAGGUAACCAAUA
rnacentral:rRNA from 1 species